GGCCUUUUUGUAGCUGUUAUAUGCGACAGCUGUAUAUGCUGUCUGAAGACCAACGUCAGUAACUCUGGAUGUUUUCUUAAAGGAACACUUAACUAACAGUACCUCUGAGCCCCCGGCCGGAACCUGAUCCAAGGAGGAGAAAGGGAGUCUCUACAAUCAGACAGCUGGUUUAAUUUGUUUAGUUAUUUGCUUUUGGGUGCUGUGUUCCUGUGCGGUCGCCCUAACGCGGAGCUGUACCCACUUGGCGCCACAACUCAGGACAACGACCCCACGAAUGUCUGAGUCCCAUCACGGGCGGCAGUAGGCUACCCUCGAAAUGAAAGUAUCCAUUUACAAUUACAGGCUAAAAAGCAAUUAAACUGAAUAUCAAGUGUUGCAUUUGAACAUACACCAUCAGGUCGGUAGAGAUUAAGCAUCCAUAAAGUAGGGUAGGCGGUGGCUGAGUGGUAGCGUGCUGGGCCCACAUUCACCGCGUGAUGGACGACGCGGGUUCGAAUCCCCACGCUACCACCUCGGAUUUUUCAGUCACCGCCGAGUGGCUUAAAAGUACCCACAUGCUGUCUUGAAGACCACCCAUCAACCCGGACUCUAGAGGAAACCGUCCAAGUGAAUCAAGAACGAGUUCCGGGGGCAGCAUGAGCCAAGAGAAGAUGGCGCCACUAUAAACACUUGCCUGCGCCAUGACGGGCUGGGGCCGACUACCAUCCAGGCCCCUCAGGAAAGCCUACCGGCGCUGUAGGUGUUAACGUAAAAAAAAAAAAAUAAAUAAACGAUUACACAAUCUUCUAAGACGCUUAUCAUCCGAGGUCUUCGUCGCCAUUGCCUCCUGAUAUGAAUUCCAGCGUAAUAAAAAUGCAAGCCACACCAGGUCGACAGUGUCCACCCAGCGCUCCCAGAGAGGUGUCAGGUCAAAGGAUUUACUCAGCUGAACAAUGAAGAGAAAUAGGUCCUGCUUGCCCUCGGAAAGGGAAGAGGAGCGGGCGACUCAUGGAUCAGGACGACAAACGCGACCAGCAUAUGCGGGAGCUUCCUUCAGGAGCCUCCGUCGCCCGCUGACCACGCCGGGGGGGCAGCACGAGGGGCGCGGCCAAGCCCUCCACGCCCCAUCAGCACGAAAUCACCGCACGGUUGUGUUCACUGAAUGCGCCGUAACAUGCAAACAGUACAGGCGGCGAGGGAGCUGGCGAAGAGGCCCGCAGGGUACCUGAAAAAUGACCACUCGAUUUUAUUUUAACUUAUAAGAAGCGGCAGAACAAUGUGGUGAUGUUUUAUGUAAUAAUAAUAAUAAUAAUAAUAAUAAUAAUAAUAAUAAUAAUAAUAAUAAUAAUAAUAAUAAUAAUAAUAACAAUAACUAGUGGGCACCCGUACAAAUUGCACGGAAUUGCACGGAUUCUGCCCCGCCCGUCGUGUUUGGGUUUGUAGUGAAGCCCGCUACAAUACUCCCCCUCAGCAAAACGUCCCUCUCGCACGAAAUUGGAGAAUAAAUUACCGUUUUCACUUUAAAUAGGAGCUAUAUCGCUUAACAAACAUAAACUGAAUAAACUUCGGCCAAAUCCGCGGCGAUAGGUCAAAAUUUGGUGUUGCCUCGAUGGGAUUAAGUGCAAAAAAAACUGAAUAAACUUUAGCCAAAUCCGCGGCGAUAGGUCAAAAUUUGGUGUUGCUUCGAUGGGUUUAAGGGC